CUCAAGCGGGAGCGAACAUGUUUUUCCGCAUGCAUUCAUUUCGCAUGCAUGCAGCAUCGAAAGAUCAUAAGCAAGACAAGAUACUUCUAUCGCUAGACGGCACAGAACAGCACGUGUCGAGAAGCUGGUCACUCUUGUCUGUUCGAGAAUAAUGAAACAGGAGGACAAGCAAGCAGGUGAGCCCUGCAUGUCCUUCCGGCUGUGCGUUCAUGUUGUGCGUAUUCUUUUUCUCGGAACAAACAAAGUGCAUGUGCAGUUCUCCGAAAGGCUCGUGCCCUGGCUUGAUAGACGCCACUGGCACCCGCUCGCAUGUCUUGGAAUUUCGUUGUUUUAGUUCUGCCUCAGCUAGAAGUGCUGAGCCCCAGUUGGCAACCUUCGCCUUCCUUGCCAAGGGGCAUACUAGUUCGUCUGGUCUUGCCGCCUGUGUACAGUUUACGUCAGAUGCAUAACGUCCCCUGUCGUCUCCAUCACUGGUUUUCUCUUCAUAGUGGAAAAGAAGGCGGACAAGGACUUCAUGUGAAGUAUAUUUUCUCCAUCCUCCAUGCGUUCAUAUGGACCUUUCUUUCUCAUUUCCAUCUGAUAACUAGUGUCCGGAUGCUUAGGACGAGAGGAGCUGUGAACAUCGCUUGGUUUUGUGCAAAUGUUACCGUACAUCUGAGUACUGCGUGUUCGUGUAUUUCCAAUGUCACAUGAAGAACUGCAAACUGAACGUCGC
rnacentral:lncRNA from 1 species